CACAUAAUGGAGUUAAAAAUAUGAGUAUGAGUAUCUCCAAACAAAACUUGAUAUAAAAUAUACAAUCACAUAAUGGGUUACAUUCUAGCACUAAGACGACGACAACAACAACAACCCAGUAUAAUUUCACUAGUGGGGUCUGGGGAGAGUAGUGUGUACGCAGACCUUACCCCUACCAUGAGGUAGAGAGGCUGUUUCCAAUAGACCCUCGGCAUCCUUCCCUCCAAAAACUCCCCAUCUUGCUCUUGGGGUGACUCGAACUCACAACCUUUUGGUUAGAAGUGCAGGUUGCUUACCAUCAGAGCAACCACUCUAGCACUAAGACAAACCUUCACAUAAUAACCAAAACUCCAAAAGUGGAGCAUAAGGUAACAAAAAAGCAGCAUUUUAAUCAUUGCUAUCAGAUAAUCAUAGAGCAAAAGUUUCAAAUAUUUUCUUAGGUUACAAUGUUUAAAUAUAAAUAGUAGAGCUCAUUUACAACAGAAAAGACCCCUCAUAAAGUAUGUUUUUAGGCUAGUGCCAAGAAGGUAUUCCAGAGAUACAAAAGUGAGUUAUAACUAUUUCAUUACAUCUUCAAGUUAAUAGAAUCAAGAAAUCCAAAAAGCUGUAACCUCUCCAACUACCUGUUCCCUACACCAAACAAAUAGACUCUGUAAAUACAUACACUUUACAAAAAAUACAUGUUAUUUUUUCUCCUUCAAAAGGUUUUUUAUUUCUUUCAAACCAAAUAGUCAACAUGACACAUAAAGAGACAUCUCUCCUCUCCAUAUCAGUUUAGAUCUGCUGCCAACUUAUUGUGAUUGCCACUUUUCAGAUUGCUGACUCAAUUUUACUUUAAUGUUAUUUUUUCCUGCCCCCUUUCUUAAUUAAUUUUAUAAUCAUUUUGGUUCUCAAAGCUUUUAAGUAAAAAUUAGAAUUACAGCAGGGACAUCAUGUAGAGUUUAUGCAUACAUGUAAAUUUAUAUAAAGAUUUUGAUACUAUUCUUUUUUAUUUAAAAUUUUCUAUUUAGCUAGCAUGUUCAAGUUUAUAGUGUCUGCGUCAUUUCCCUUCAGUAUCAUGUAAAUUUUGCAAAGCAGCCGAUACGAAGAAUAGUUAUCAGUAAGAAAAUACCAUACCAACGAAACUUUUAAAUCAAACUAAAAUUUGAACUUCAAAGGAAAACAAACGAAAUUUGCUUUCUUGGAAUGGUAAAAAAGUUAUAAUUCAUUUUCACUUUCUUUCAAUUUGAAUGGAAGAAUUGUUACUUUUUGGAUCAGAAAUGUUACUUUUUGAUUGAAACACUAUUGAAUAUCACAAAUACCCGACAACAACAGCAGUUCGCAACAACUGCAUAAUAAAGAGAAUGAAUCGGAAAAAUUAGUAAUAGAUAACUCCAACCAAAAUAGAGCAGAAAGAUGUAAAGUUAGAACAUCCUAAGAGUUAGAAGCAUGCAACAACUUCAAAGAUAAAAAACUUCAAUCAGAAAAUUAUAAAAACCUUCUUUCAGCAUAUUCCAAAAUGAAGUACGCGAAGAACUGAGAAAACCAAAAAAAUCCAAAUUUUAGCAUGCGUCGACUUUAAAAAAUUUAAUGAAAAAACAAAUGCAGAAGGAGACAACUACCACAUCUCAGAGCAAAAACUAAAAUGAGGAAGAUAACAAAAGAAAGCAAGAAAAGCAUCACAUUAGACAGACACAUUCAAAAAAGUUGGAGAAAGAUCAAAAUUCCAGUGGCAAAGAAUUCAAUUAUUGAUAGAGAAACCAAAAAGAGAAGCAAGUAAUCCAUUGACUGUUUGUGAUCUUUCGAAAUCUGAUUUGGAGGAAAUCAAUUCAUAUUUGUUUGGCUCAUGGCCGGCACCAAAAGAGGCACAAAUAGUCGAUUCAUAUCUACCAGAAUUCUACCACCCAAAAAUAUGAAAUGAAGAAGAUUUAUCAGGUGACUUUAAUAUCGAAGUCAAAUUUCUCCAAUUUGGACACGCCAUAACCCGACAAGUAAAAAGGAAAAUUUUAAUUGGCAAAUUUUACGAAGCGACAUACAAAAUAGUUUUUGCAAUACAAGUUUUCAAAGUAAUUGAAUACUCAAAGUUGAGCUCUUGAUUUCAAUUCAUCUCCGGAAAAAAAAAAAGUCCCCCCAAUUUCAUCCAUCAAAACCCUAACUCGAAAAUUUUCGGAUCUUUUUGAAUAUAGACAAAAUCUGUCUUUAAUUCAGUUUAUUUUCAUGAACUUGAGGUAAACCUCCAUUGUUUAGUGAUCUUACCAUUGAUAUAAAAAGAACUGUAUGUGGGUUGCAACAAAUUGGAACCAAAAAGAAGGAGAAACAAAUUGAUAUUAAAGAGUAAGUAACGCACUUGCAAGUUGAAAAGAUUUGAGAAAGACAGAAGAAAAUCUGAGUCGCUUUGUAACUUCAUUGUGUAUGAUAUAUUAGAAGAGAAGAAAA
rnacentral:lncRNA from 1 species